rnacentral:misc_RNA from 1 species
GAUGAAGAACGCAGCGAAAUGCGAUAAGUAAUGUGAAUUGCAGAAUUCAGUGAAUCAUCGAAUCUUUGAACGCACCUUGCACCCUUUGGACUGCUCCAAAGGGUAUGCUCGUUUGAGUGUCAUUGUACUCUCACACUCUCUGAUCCUUUGGAUUUGGGGAGCAGUGGACUUGGGUGCUUGCUGCUUCCUUGUGGCUCACCUGAAAUGCAUCAGUGCAUCUCUCGAUUGGACAUAGUACGGCGUGAUAAGUGUCUUCGCCGGCACCUCAUAUGAGGGUGGCCGAUCGGGAGCUCUGUUGCUUCAAACUGUCUUCGGACAAUCUUCUGGCGACUUGACCUCAAAUCGAGUAGGACUACCCGCUGAACUUAAGCAUAUCAAUAAGCGGAGGA